rnacentral:rRNA from 1 species
UACGUAGGGUGCAAGCGUUAAUCGGAAUUACUGGGCGUAAAGCGUGCGCAGGCGGUUAUGUAAGACAGAUGUGAAAUGCCCGGGCUUAACCUGGGAAUUGCAUUUGUGACUGCACGGCUAGAGUGUGUCAGAGGGGGGUAGAAUUCCACGUGUAGCAGUGAAAUGCGUAGAUAUGUGGAGGAAUACCGAUGGCGAAGGCAGCCCCCUGGGAUAACACUGACGCUCAUGCACGAAAGCGUGGGGAGCAAACAGG